rnacentral:lncRNA from 10 species
GGGCAGGAUGCAGGAAGGCCACAAUGGGUAGUGCAGUGCUCUGGGUCAGUGACAGCUAAGUUCUCACCAUCCCUAGGUCCUGGAUGGGGCAGGAGGACAGAGUCACACAGAGGAGACCAUCUUGAGAAGAGCAGUGACCUCUCAGGUGACUCAGGAGUGACUCAGGACAAAGUCUGAAGCAGCCGCUCCAGGAGUGACCCUGAGGAGAAGGAGUCUACCCUCACUCCAUUUCCUUCCCUCAUUGGCCACACCCAACCAGAGACCAGAGGGGAAGGGAGUCCCUGAUGUGGUCCAGACAGAGGAGUUUGAAAUUCUUGCUUCAGGCCAUAUGGAGUGGAUAUUCCUUCCAGAAGGAAAUUACAGACCACUCUCUGUUUCUACUCAACUGCUUUUCACUCCGGCCCAGUGGUUUCCUGGCUGCCAUGG